rnacentral:siRNA from 1 species
GAGCGCACGGAAAAGGCAAAUACC